GUCACAACAGUCACAACAGUCACAACAAUUACAACAGUCACAAUAGUUAUAACAAUUUAUUUAACACAAAAAAUGGGGAAGGUUAUGAUAGUGUAUUGGAUGAUAUAAAAAAUAGAUCUACAAAUGGGGAGGUGGUACGUAUAGAAAAUAUUGACAGUAUCACACACUUACCAGAAGAAACAUACGAUGAUAGAAAAGUUUGUAAAUAUAUUUUAAAUUAUUUAUUUAAUAUAUAUUAUGAAAAAUAUUUGGGACUAAAAAAUUUGUAUAAUACAUUUAAUAUGCAUAAUACAUAUAAGUUAAAAUAUUGUAAAGCAGAAAAAAAUGUAUUUAAAUUUAUAUGUUAUGAAAAAGUUGAAUUAGAAAAAAGAAAUAUAUUAUUAAUUAAAAGUAAAAAUGUAAAUAAUGAUUUUUUGUUAGGGGUUGUAAAAAAAUGUGAACGAGUCGACGAUUUUUAUUUUAUUUAUUUGGAGUUGAAAAGAUAUGGUGGUAGUGGCAGUAAUACCACCACUACUAACAGUACCGCCACUACUAACACCUUUUGUAACACUUUGGGUAAUGAGUAUCCACAUAAUAGCCAUAGUGUGGAUAAUAGUGAUAGGUUCUUGGUUUAUGAAGACUUAGACAUAAGUGAAGACUGCAUUGAGGUGUACCUAAACAAUAAUAGGCAUGGAGUUGGUUUAUCUUUUUCAACUACAGAUGAAGGUUUUAAUAAUAAUAAUAAUAAUAAUAGUAGUAGUAGUAUUAGUAGUAGUAGUAUUAGUAGUAGUAGUAGUAGUAUUAGUAGUAGUAUUAGUAGUAGUAUUAGUAGUAGUAUUAGUAGUAGUAUUAGUAGUAGUAUUAGUAGUAGUAGGGAACAAAUAAAUGAUAAUAACAAAAUGUCAGAUAUACAAAAAAAUUGUGACGAAUAUGAAGCUGCCACUUUAACUAUACACCUAAACACCAUUUCAAACAGAAUUAAAAAUUCGAUGUUAUCCAUUUUUUCAAAAUAUAAUAAAAAAAUGGAUAUAAAUAAAUGUAGUAAAAAUAUGAUAGUUAAUAUUUUAUUAAACGAAUCGAAUGAUAAGAAUAGAAAUAUGUCAAGUUUAAAAAAUAAGAAACCUUUUGAAAUUUAUAAAAAAUUAAAACAGAAUUACAGCAUUUUAGUUGAAGAAGCUAUAAAUACGUUUUUAAAAAAAAGACAAAAUGAAUCAUCAGAAAUAUCCAUUUUUAAUAAAGAAUUGAUUAAAAAUGAUAAAAUAAUAAAAAAAUUAUAUACAAAAUUAAAAAAUAAUUUAGAUGAAUAUGCAAAAAUGUACUCUAUAUAUAUUAAUUUUGAUAUAUAUCAAAAAAAUAUUUUAUAUGAAUUAUUAAUAAAUGAAAAAAAUAUUCCUAUACAUUUAAUUCAUGGUGCUCCUGGUAGUGGUAAAAGUAACUUAAUCGCUUUUGUCAUAUAUGUU
rnacentral:lncRNA from 1 species